GACGAACGCUGGCGGCGUGCCUAAUACAUGCAAGUCGAACGAGUGGCGAACGGGUGAGUAAUGUCUCGGAACGUGCCCAGUAGCGGGGGAUAACUACGCGAAAGCGUAGCUAAUACCGCAUACUAUUGGAGCGGCCGAGGUGGGAUUCGCUUGUUGGUGGGGUAACGGCUCACCAAGGCGACGAUCCCUAGCUGGUCUCAGAGGAUGACCAGCCACACUGGAACUUAGACACGGUCCAUACUCCUACGGGAGGCAGCAGUGGGGAAUAUUGCACAAUGGGCGCAAGCCUGAUGCAGCCAUGCCGCGUGUGUGAAGAAGGCCUUCGGGUUGUAAAGCACUUUCAGCGGGGAGGCUUUACUCGCAGAAGAAGCACCGGCUAACUCCGUGCCAGCAGCCGCGGUAAUAC
rnacentral:rRNA from 1 species